UAGCAUAUCAAUAAGCGGAGGAAAAGAAACCAACAGGGAUUGCCUCAGUAACGGCGAGUGAAGCGGCAACAGCUCAAAUUUGAAAUCUGGCCCCCCUCGGGGUCCGAGUUGUAAUUUGGAGAGGAUGCUUCGGGUGUGGCCCCGGUCUAAGUUCCUUGGAACAGGACGUCACAGAGGGUGAGAAUCCCGUACGUGCCCGGUGGCCGCCCCCGUGUGAAGCUCCUUCGACGAGUCGAGUUGUUUGGGAAUGCAGCUCAAAAUGGGUGGUAAAUUUCAUCUAAAGCUAAAUAUUGGCCAGAGACCGAUAGCGCACAAGUAGAGUGAUCGAAAGAUGAAAAGCACUUUGGAAAGAGAGUUAAACAGUACGUGAAAUUGUUGAAAGGGAAGCGCUGGCAACCAGACUUGCGCGGGGUCGAUCAUCCGGUGUUCGCACCGGUGCACUCGGCCCCGCGCAGGCCAGCAUCGGUCUGGGCGGCUGGAUAAAGGCCUUGGGAAUGUGGCUCUCUUCGGGGAGUGUUAUAGCCCAAGGUGCAAUGCAGCCCGCCUGGACCGAGGACCGCGCUCCGGCUAGGAUGCUGGCGUAAUGGUUGUCAGCGACCCGUCUUGAAACACGGACCAAGGAGUCUAACAUCUAUGCGAGUGUUUGGGUGUCAAACCCAUACGCGUAAUGAAAGUGAACGGAGGUGAGAACCCUUAAGGGUGCAUCAUCGACCGAUCCUGAUGUCUUCGGAUGGAUUUGAGUAAGAGCAUAGCUGUUGGGACCCGAAAGAUGGUGAACUAUGCCUGAAUAGGGUGAAGCCAGAGGAAACUCUGGUGGAGGCUCGCAGCGGUUCUGACGUGCAAAUCGAUCGUCAAAUUUGGGCAUAGGGGCGAAAGACUAAUCGAACCAUCUAGUAGCUGGUUCCUGCCGA
rnacentral:rRNA from 1 species